rnacentral:misc_RNA from 1 species
UUUUUUUUUUUCUUAUCAAUAAGGGUUUUGAUUUUAUUGAAAUAUACUUUCAAAUUAUUAAUCUGAAUGCAUCAGGCCAGUGUAGGGUAGUGCGCUUUUAAAAUUGUUCACGGAAAAAAUUUAAUCUCAAUAUACAAAUGCUGACAUAAAGAAUAAACGAGAAAAAAAAAAAAAGUGAAUGAUGCUAUGACCUCAUUUACAUUAGAUUUCACCCUGUUUGAUGGAUGACUACAAUAGUGUUCCAUUUCAUAUCUAGGAAGAAGAAUUAGAUAGGGUUUGAAUGAUAGUUUUGCGCCAUGGAUUAGAGAGGUGCUCCACAAGAUUAUCAAUAGGACCCGCAUGAGUCACAGCAGCUUGCACAAAAAUGCCCAGCAUUGCUACCAUUGCAAGCCUUCCAUUUUUUAUCUCUUUCAGCUUCCAGUCAUGAGCAUAUUUUAUGUCUUUAGCCAGGCCAAGAGGGUUAAAUAGAGGACCUCCAGGGUAGCUGUUCAAUUGUGGGGUAAAAAUUGUUAAUCGAAAGUACAGAUUCAAUAUCAAUUCAAUACUAUGUCAUAGAAUAUUACAAUUACCCAGGUUCCAAGCCUUCUAGUGCAGCUUCCAUUCCGAAAAAAGAUCCCUCUUUGGCCUGAGAUCCAGGGCUAACAUAAUCCAUGUACCUUCUUGUCUCAGCAUAUCUGCAAAAACAAAAAAGAACCAAGUUUUUUUGCUUGAAGAUUUCAAAUUGGGUCGCCAUAGAUCUGGAAUGGAAAACCAAUUUUACCCCAUCAAGAGUAGUUGAACAACGAGCAAAGUUCUUGUGCUUGCAAAUUCGUACUUCACUGCACCUGCUUCAUACCAAACGGGCAAUUUGCUAAUCCCUGUUACGCGUAGUAGCUGCAACACGGCACUAAACUAUCACUAACAUCGUGUUUAGGAAGAAAGGAAAAUGACGGAUGGAAAAUAAGAGGUCACUAACAUCUGUGAAAAGAAUUCCAGCAACGCCAAGCAUGGCAAAACGAGCAUGAACCAGCUCUGCCUGCACAAACCAUUUCAAGCUUUCUGGAUCCUCUCCAAGUCCAAGUGGGUCAAACCCAUAAUCUCCAGCCAAACUUAUAAUGACAGAAAAUCAUAGAAAGAAGACAGUUAAGCAAAACAAAAUGGGGAAAAAAAAUUGCAGCCAUGCUAGAACUUAUGGAGGGUACUGUGGCUCACGUUCCAUCAAGAUAUGGUGGAGGGUCGAGCCCGGGUAGCCAAGUGGGUCGCUGUUGGGCAUGAACCACAGUUCGUGUAAAACAUCGAGUUCUUCCUAUUUUAGAAGUCCAAAACGUAUCCCUUAAGCCUAAUGACGAUUUGUACAUGCUCUUAGAUGCGAAGCACAGAGAGGAUGAAGAACAUGGCCGAGCAAACAAUGCUCUCCCCAUCACAAGGGCCAUCUUUUUUUUUUUAUCAGUCUAUCAACAACUACUAAGUGAAGGCCUCU